rnacentral:misc_RNA from 1 species
GACGAACUUGAGGAGAAAAUUUCCAGAAGAAAAAGGCUAUGGCAGCUUGCUCCUAUUUAUGCCACUGAGUGGACCAAGUGGAUAGAUGAACAGAAGAAACUAGCCGGUGUUUCUCCUGAAUCUCCAGUGUACUUAUCUCUACGCCUGGAUGGUCGUGUGCGUGGCAGUGGUGUUGGUUGUCCUUCUUGGAAUGCUUUCGUAUUGCAAUUGCCACCAGUAAAGGGCAUUUGGUCUGGUCUUCUUGAUGGCAUGGAUGGAAGAGUGCUUUAAGAAUUGAGAUCAGAUAUUGUCUUCUCUUUCUUAUUCUUUGAAGAACUAUAUUAUAUUAUGUUGACAAUGUACUUAUUUCCUCUUCA